CUUUGGUUACAACAGCUCAAGUCCAUAUAUGCCUCAUAUGAGCAUUCUUUAUGCCGAUUUGACGGAUGAAGAAAAGAAGAAAGCUCAAGAGAAGGCUUAUAUCCUUGAUGAGAGCAUUGGCAACUUAAGCUUCCAGAUAUCUCGCCUUGCAUUGUAUAAAACAGACACCGAAGACAAAAGCCUUAAAUCGUGGGAGAAGAUUGAAGAGUACAAUCUCAGCUAGCACUAACUAGUUCUAACCACACUCUUAACCCUCCGCGAGCUGAAACUCUUUGCUCAAGAAAACGCGGCGUACCUUAUCUUUACCUUAAUUUUCAUUGCCAGCAACUUUUUUCAAGUCUUAUACAUGAGAAAACUGUGCUGUUGGGGCUUCCUUUUUCUGUAUAUUUUGGGUUUUGCAAAACUUCCAG
rnacentral:misc_RNA from 1 species